AGUAAUAUGGCAGUGCAUGGAUGUGGAUGCAGUAGUAAUUAAGGAUGAUCACCUCCUUGUUCCAGUCGGUCCUGCAGGUGACCCACAGCAAGAUAAGAGUCUGCGCAUCAUGGUUCCUCCGAUCACCAUUCCACUCCAAACGGAGCUGACAUGAUGAUCAUCUGUGAGGCCUGGUCACGAUUACAGAGUUGAUACCCUAUUGUGUCCACCUUCGUUAAUCCAGGCCUGUGCCUCACGAUAUCUUUUGUGUAAUAGUGUUAUCCAGAGGCAAAGAGAAGGGGAGCAGGCAGGGUCCUGGCCCCCCUCCAAUUAAUGUUCCACGAACUUAAAUAGAUGGAACCUUUAAUCACUGAUAAUUAGCUAUAGAUGUCCUUGCCAAACCCC
rnacentral:lncRNA from 1 species